UACAGAGGUCCCAAGCGUUGUUCGGAUUCAUUGGGCGUAAAGGGUGCGUAGGCGGCGCGGUAAGUCGGGUGUGAAAUCUCGGGGCUUAACUCCGAAACUGCAUUCGAUACUGCCGUGCUUGAGGACUGGAGAGGAGACUGGAAUUUACGGUGUAGCGGUGAAAUGCGUAGAUAUCGUAAGGAAGACCAGUGGCGAAGGCGGGUCUCUGGGCCGUAACUGACGCUGAGGAGCGAAAGCGUGGGGAGCGAACAGG
rnacentral:rRNA from 1 species